ACGCCGGCGGCUCNCUAACACAUGCACGUCGAACGUGAAAUCCGCCUUCGGGCGGAAAGUAAAGUGGCGCACGGGUGAGUAACGCGUGGGUAAUCUGCCCUUGGAUUCGGGAUAACUCGCCGAAAGGCGGGCUAAUACGGAAUAACGUCAAAUCACAUAAGUGGUUUGACCAAAGGAGGCUCUGCUUUCAUCUGAGGAUGANCCCGCGUACCAUUAGCUAGUUGGUGGGGUAAUGGCCUACCAAGGCAUCGAUGGUUAGCUGGUCUGAGAGGACNAUCAGCCACACUGGAACUGAGACACGGUCCANACUCCUACGGGAGGCAGCAGUGGGGAAUAUUGCGCAAUGGGGGAAACCCUGACGCANCGACGCCGCGUGAGCGAUGAAGGCCCUCGGGUCGUAAAGCUCUGUCAGGUGGGAANAAACCUUGCCGGUUAAUCCCGGCUUGGUUGACGGUCCACCANAAGAACACCGGCUAACUCCGUGCCANCANCCGCGGUAAUACNGAGGGUGCAACCGUGUUCGAAUUCUGGGCUUAANGGCNUNAGCCGUUUGUAA
rnacentral:rRNA from 1 species